rnacentral:rRNA from 1 species
GACGAACCGAGCGAACGUUGUUCGGAAUCACUGGGCUUAAAGGGCGCGUAGGCGGGCUAUCAAGUCCGGGGUGAAAUCCUCCAGCUCAACUGGAGAACGGCCUCGGAUACUGAUGGCCUCGAGGGAGAUAGGGGCACGCGGAACUGUGGGUGGAGCGGUGAAAUGCGUUGAUAUCCAUAGGAACUCCGGUGGCGAAGGCGGCGUGCUGGAUCUCUUCUGACGCUGAGGCGCGAAAGCCAGGGGAGCAAAC